rnacentral:lncRNA from 1 species
AAAUCUCAAGAAUCUCGCUAAAAAAAAAAAAUCACCUCGAUUCCCUCGACGAGUCCCUCGACGUCCACGAUCUUCGUCGUCGCUAGAGAAAAAAAAAGAAACUCCUCCUCUCCUCUUCUAAAACUCCCCUUCUAAUUGAAAGAAUUCCCAAAGCGGAUGAGAGCGAUUAACAAAAAGUGGCGGUGUAAUAUCCAAGAUUACCUCGUCAAAAAUUACCUAGGAAAUUCGGCUUAAUUGCCCGGUACAUUCUGACCAACUCCCGCCAUUCCAACUCCUUCAUCCCCUCUCUCUCACCCAUUCUUUUUCCUCGUGAGGCACGUCUCUCUCUCUCUCUCUCUCGCGCGCGCGCGCCUGCCUUUUCACCAGAGAUCUCUCCUCGGUCCUUAAUUUAGAGGAAGCGAAAUCCCUGGCACGGCUGAUAGGCGGGCACAAAGGGCCGACGGGCCGUGUACCCUACUCGACAGGCCGCUUUGGGGCGUCGAGUGUAAUUGGCGAAAUUAAUUAACGGUCUAUAAGCGUUAUCUCGACGCCGCGUACACGUGGUCGGGCGUACACCAGGGAGGGACCUAGGCCGGGAGAAGGAGGGCGCCAGCCGGCCAACGUCGCCUCCUCGCUCUCGAGCCGAUGUCCUUCUGCCAGCCACGGAACAGGGGAGGGGGCAGGCAGAGAGAGAGAGAGAGAGAGGUGAUAUCGUUGUUGUUGAAAAUUACGGCGAGAGGGAUAUUCCACCCACGUCCACCCUAGGUGUCGUACCCUAAUUUUGACCGUGUAUUAUGCCCGUCCAUUAUGCCUGCCCGCGGAGAUGCUUAAUCUUCCGGAGGAGAAAGAGGAGGAGGAGGAACGUGGCUCGACCGUUGUUUCUAUCGGGACGAGACCCUUUGUUUUAACCCGUUAAUGGAAGAAAGGCGAAAGCGAUGAAGAUUAAUUUUGUGUUGAAAUCGUGCCACUGUAUCAAGAGUCGAUAUCACGAACUGAUGGAAAAAAAACGAAAGAAAUCUCUAUCGUGGUAUUUGUAACAUAUAUUAAUCCGAAUAAUUGUGACAGAGUGGGCGUAGAGUGUUUUUUUAAUAGUCAUGGAUCGAGAGAAGAUUGAAAUAUAUUCGUGUCUAAUGUUCAUUGGUGGAAAAAAAUCUCGCAGAACACUUAUUUUCACAUUCUUAUUUUUGAUUAUAGUAUUUGUAUUCAAACCUCGACACAUUAGACAUAUAUUUCAAUUUUGGUGAUUAUCGUAAUUUCGUGAAAAUGAAAAUAAUUUUUACGAUCUUGAAUAUUCGAAUUAUAAUAAUUCUACUACUGUGUAGCGUGUGAUGUCGGGAUUGCCAAGAAAGUUGUUUGAAGUAGAGAUACGAUCUGUCCCGCGAGACUUCUUCUCAGUACCAGUGAACGGUAUGUCGAAAGUUGAAAGUAUAGUUUCUGGAAAGGUGACAAAAGAGAAAUGGCGGAGAAGGAUCUUGUAGGAUUGCAGUAGGACAAUAUCUUACUUGCCUUUGUGCUUGCCAUCUUAUCUCUGUGGAUAAAUAGUAAAAUUAUCGUGCGAAAUAAUUCAUCGGUAAAUAAUCCAAGUGAAUUUCGCAAACGCGCUUCCUCUUGAAGAAUUUCGAUUGGAGAAUUUCUUUAUAACUAUAUAUAUCCACGUUAAAAACGAUUCUACUUUCACUACAUCUACAUUCCUUCAAUUCUAUACGCGUUAGAUUUUAAGCUACGUUCACACUGAAAGCACAUCAAAAAUAUUAUAAUUGAAAACGUUGCCUAAAACAAUGGAAACCAACUUCAGUCGACUCAACGCCAUAUUCUUUGUUCAAUGGAAUAACGUAUAUUAUCCUAUUUCUAUACACAACACAAGCAAAUUUAACUAAUUUUAUUCGCUAAAUAUUCGUUCCUUCAGAAAGAACGAGAGAGAGAAAGAGAGGAUCAGCGAGUGUCCGCGAAGAACAAGCUCGACAAAAUCACGGUCGUCGUUGUCGCGGGAGUCGCGUUGGCUUCGAGCAAAGCCGCGGAUAUAUCUGUGCAGUGGUUGGCCGGCCGCAAAACCGCGAACCGUAACUCAAUUAAUCCGGAUUGAUCCGUUCGUACACACGAGGGGACGUUUCCGCGCCCCGGCAUAAACAGCACCGGGCCCCGCUCGUCGAUCGAUCACCGUUCGCCCUCCUCUCGUCCACCGCGCGAUUAUAUCGCGGAUUACGCGCAAGAUUUUCGAGAAAUAUCGUUGGUCGGACAGCGGUGAAAGACGAGGGAGGGGAGAAAGGUUAUGGUCUUGCGAAAUUCGAGCAGGAUUCGCCGUGGAAACGAUCGGACGUUUCUAUUGGACGUUGUCGUCGAAAGUAGUUCCGUUUUUUCACACGAGUGUCGCUACUCGAACGUUUAUCCAGCCAACUUCAUUCUGAACGAAGUGUCGUUAUUAUUAUAUUUUGAGAGUUGGCAUUUCGUGGUUUAUAAGAAAGAUUCGCUCGAUUCGUGUGUUUGGUUUGUGUCUUCGUGUGAUAACAAAGACCAAAAGAAGCACUUUCGGCAUAUUUUACUUUCUUAUUAGAAGAAAAGAUAAGAAUACUGUUCAAACAAGAAAAAAGUUACGUGAAGUUGUGGAAAAAGUGUAUCAACAGUGUCGUCAGUGACAAAACUAGUUUUUAAAAUUUCGUUCCGACAGUUUCGACGUUAAAGCCGCGUUCUGCAAGACCAGUCGAAGCUAAUGAAGUUAAAACAAAGACAUUGAAUUUGUCGAAUUCGACUGAUUUAGUGUUUCAUUAUCAUGAAAAAGAACAAAAUUAUUUUUCGAAUGAUAUAUUGAUUCGAGUAAAAUGAUGAUCGUUUAUAAAUGAAAAAGAUAGAUUGACGGUUUCUCUUUCUUGAUCUUAUCAACGAGCAAGCGUUGUUUAAUUAUUAAUCUGAUCUUUGCCGGGUUUAUAGGACUGAGAUUAAGAGAAGUAGUUCAAAGCUAGAAUCGAUGGUAAAAAUUUAUUUAACUUCUUAUCUAGUUUUUAUCGAGUUUGCUUUGGGUUAAUAUCUUUUCAACUCUCUUCGUAAUAACACUUUGAAACCAGUAUUUUAACUGUCGAAUAAGAUGAAAUAUUAAUCGAUAUUUCGACUUUCCUUUUUUUUUUUAUUAUUUUCAUUAUUAUUAAAAUUCUGCGGUGGAAGAAUUCUUUUUAUUCGUUAUAUCGUUGAAAUAAUUUCAAUUUGAAACAUGCGUCCAUCCCCGAGAAGGUCAAUAAACAACGAUCGUCAAAUAAAUUCUUCGCGUAUUGAUGUGAAAUAUAUAUAUAUAUAAAAAAAAAAAAAAUCAUCAAAAAGUACCUUUUUACAAAUAUUUUUAUAAAUAAAUAAUUCAUCUCGAAUAAUUCUCUCGAUGAACGAUAAUAUCAUUUCAAAGAGCCAGAGUAUCGAGGAAAUCAUUUUUUUUUUUUCUCCUCUCUAUGAAAAAGAUUAUUGAACUGUUCGAAAAUGUUCUGGUAUCGAAUGGCUUCAGCCGUAAGAAAACGUGGAAGAAGAAGAAGAAGAAGAAAAAGUCGGUCGAGCUUUGACCCGGCGAGAGAAAAUUGUCGUGCAAGGGUUUCUCGAUAAGGAAUAAAAUAACGCGUGUGCGUCGAGUUGAGUUCGCAUGCGACGCGCAAUAAGUCUUCCCGAACGACAAAAUCGCGAGCGUGUCGCGAGAAAAUACCGCGUGAACGAUAAAAAGAUCGAGAAAUACGACGUUCUCCCGAUAAAUAUUUCCUUUCCCCUUCUCCUCCACCCUCCCCUCUCCUCCUCCACCCUCCCCUCCCCUCUCCUUCCACGCACCGUUUUCGAAGUCCCGAAUCGAGGAAGAAAAAAAUUGGGAUUCGUUUGAAACGAAUGUAAUUCAAUAACAAUCGAAACAUUCAAUAAAACGUUCAUCGAACGAGUAACAGUCUUGGAAUAACGAUAACGAAUAUGAUUUCGACGGUCGAACCUUUUAAUUUGCGGUGUAACGCGCGAAACACGCCCACCAUCGCUGCUCCCCGAUGAUCAAUCAUCGAGAAUAAAUAUUUAUUAGUCGAAAGGUUCACCGAAAUUUAAAUAAUUGAAAAAUAAACAAUUUCCAAUUUCAAUCCCCGAUACCUCUCAAUUUCAAUCGAAACCGAAUUAAACUGAUAGCACGUUUGUAUUUUCCUAUUGCCCGUAUGUAUGCAACGAUUGAUACACGGUUGAUUACCAGAAAAAAAAAAAAAAAUUUGUUUCACGAUACAGAGUUACGAAACACAAUUCCGUCGCUAAUUAAGACGACCAUUUAUUUGAUAAGAUCGGCCAUUUUGAACGAGAAAUCGCCGUAAUAGUGAAAACGUUAAAGUCGGAGUGAAUCGCUUAAUGGCGAAACGAAUACGAACUGGUGACAACGAAUAAUAUUUAAAUUACGAAGAAGAAGAAAAAAGGACGAUCGGAGAGAUGGAAACCGAAAAUUGUUCGAUGAAGCGAAACGAAGAGGAAAAGAAAAGGAAAAAAAAAAACGGCGGAGAGAAGGGUGAAAACGGCAAAGAAAAAGCGCGGGAAAUUCGAUUGGCAAUCGAGCCGGUAUCGGAGAAACGAGGAUUUUCCAAGUGGUGGCCGUCGACAAUUACGCACGGCCCAUUUAAAUGUAAUUCGACGCUGUUCGAUAGAGCCGAGUUGAGCCGAGUCGAGCCGAGUCGAGCCGAGUCGAGCCGAGUCGAGCCGAACAGGAAAUAAUGUCUCGACCGAUUGUUAUCGCGCCACGGCGAUUGCCGAUGCGAAUCAAAUUAGAUUUCGAGAGGCUUUGAAAAAAUGAGGUGAAGAGAAAACUGAAAUCGUGAAGUAUAUUGAAUUGAUAAAGGAUAUAAUUUAAGAUUGGACUGUGCAAUGGAUUGUUCCAAACGGUGUUUCUAAAAGGAUUGGAAAAGGAAGGUUUGGAAUUUUGGCGGGGGAAAAAAAA